AAUGGCGAAUGAUUUAAGACGUUUCCAUUUUCUAUUCACGUUCCUCUUUUUAUUUUGUGUAUAUCAGAUUCAAUCCCUAGCGGUGAUUCAAUCUUUCUUCAUUCAAUUUCAGAUUCAGUAAUGGUUGCUUCAAAUUCCAUUCAGAAAUUAAUUGUUCUAGAAUUGCCCGAUAUUUCUCAAGUUCCCAUUCAAUUUCAUGGAUUCAAUUGACAGUUGCUUCUAUAAAUUGUCUCCGAAAAUAGCAGAUCAGCAUCAGUCUCACCGGUUCGACAUUUGCCCGAACACAGAAAGCAAUGGCAUCACAGAUCACCUGCAAACUUCAAAAGGUAGGAUCCUCAGCCCCACAUGACGCACUCAACAGUUUUACAAAUUUGGUUUAAAUGUAUGUGGAGCAGUUUUACUUUUCCAAGUGAAAAGAAAAAUGUGAUGCUAGGGUAGAGGCAAGCUACGGUUACAUCUUCUAUGUUCUUUCUCCUAAAAACACUAAAUUUCACCAGUCAUUUAAACAUGUUAUCCUUUUGUUAGAAGUCUAGAUGUAUAUUAUAUCUCACUGGAGUCGGUAGUCUUUACUAUGGAGCGAAUAUCACAUUUUCUCGCUAGAAGCAUUUUGCUCUAGCCUAACAGUAUUAUGCGAUGUUUUUUGUUUCUAUGAUUAGCUUCCUUUACGCAUUUACAAAUUUUUCUUAUAAAUUUUGAUGUGUAAACAUUGGUCAACAAAACUUUCUCGCUGGAAGCAUUUUAUUAUGCAUGUUUUAUGUUUCUGUGAUAAGCCUACUUUACACAUUUAUAGAGAAAUUUCUAUAAAUUUUGAUGUGUAAACAUUGGUUAACAAAACACUGGAACAUUUGGAUCCCACAAAACAUGGUUGUUCUGUAGAAAGUCCAAUCCAUCUAAAAUUUUAGGUCACUUUCAUAAUUAGCUCAUGUAGUCUCAUGUACAAAACUUACAUGUCCUUUAAUAUUUAUGUCAUAUAUGAUCAUUUUGGUGCA